GGAGACUAGAGACACCAGAGUCUAAACUGAAAGUGAAGCUACUGACUAGAGGGAAGUUGAUAAAUAAAAUAUUCAAAUCAAAGAAAUCAGAGACUCAGUAUUUCCGAACCUCUCUCCUAAUGAAAGCAGGAAGAGAGGAGGCAUUAGUGGAGUAAAAGAAAGAGAUUGAGUUACUACAAGAAAAUAUAUCAAUAACUAGUGUACAACUGCUGAUGAUUCAAAAGGGAAAUAUUGAGAAGAAGGAUCAGUGUACACAAUCACUG